rnacentral:rRNA from 1 species
CAGUCGCCGCGGUAAUACGUAGGGCGCAAGCGUUGUCCGGAAUUAUUGGGCGUAAAGAGCUCGUAGGCGGUCUGUCGCGUCUGGUGUGAAAUCCCGAGGCUCAACCUCGGGCUUGCAUCGGGUACGGGCAGACUAGAGUGCGGUAGGGGAGACUGGAAUUCCUGGUGUAGCGGUGGAAUGCGCAGAUAUCAGGAGGAACACCGAUGGCGAAGGCAGGUCUCUGGGCCGCAACUGACGCUGAGGAGCGAAAGCAUGGGGAGCGAACAGGAUUAGAGACCCCCGUAGUCCCUGUCUCUUAUAC